rnacentral:tRNA from 1 species
GCGAGGAUUGCUCAGUCAGGUCAAAGGCGAUGGUUCAGGGCCUAUUCUCGUAGGAGUUCGUGCGUUUGAAUCGCACCCCUCGCA